rnacentral:other from 1 species
UAUCUCCUGCAGUGUUCGAGGAUGUGCUGGGUGUUUCCUGAACCUGUAUUACCCCAGGGGGCAACUACAGUUAAUGGUGUGCAUGCCCGUUUCGACGAGAAGCCUGAAUUUAACGCGCCUGUCCCCACUUGAACUUCCGGUUCAAGGGCGAAAGCAUAUUACGGCACAGGUGGGAGAUGC